UACGAAGGGGGCUAGCGUUGCUCGGAAUCACUGGGCGUAAAGCGCACGUAGGCGGAUUGUUAAGUCAGGGGUGAAAGCCUGGAGCUCAACUCCAGAACUGCCCUUGAUACUGGCAAUCUCGAGUCCGGAAGAGGUAAGUGGAACUCCGAGUGUAGAGGUGAAAUUCGUAGAUAUUCGGAAGAACACCAGUGGCGAAGGCGGCUUACUGGUCCGGUACUGGCGCUGAGGUGCGAAAGCGUGGGGAGCAAACAGG
rnacentral:rRNA from 1 species